GGGCGAAUAGCUCAGGUUGGUGAGAGCGCCUGCCUUACAAGCAGGAGGUCGGAGGUUCGACUCCUCCUUCGCCCA
rnacentral:tRNA from 1 species